CGUUUCCCCAUUGGUCCACGCUCCUCGGAGCCCAGAAGAGCGGCUCCACGCUACCCUUCCUCAUUGGCUGAUGGCAUCGCCCGCCCUCCGCCCUAGACAGUUGUCGACCGCUGAUUGAACCGGGGCUGCUCGCAGGAAGAGGCCGCAGAGGCGGCGGAAGCAGCUCUGUCGCCAUCUUUGGUAGGGGCAGGGGCUGAGGCCGAGGCGGAGCCCCAUCAGGCUGCAGUGGAAUUCGGCCGCUGUCCCGCGCCUACUCAGUUGCUCUGUGUACCCUCUGUUCUGGGUCCCAGGUCUUCCCGAAGAACCCCACGGACUUCCCUGCUGUGGUCCCGACUCGUGGUGCAGGGACCAGGUGGGCUGGGGAACCAGCCUUUGGGGAACCGGUGAGGAGAGUCCAGAUUGCCCCGACAGGUAGACAGGAGGACCCAGUCGGGGCGGACAGAUGUCGGGUAAGAGGGGCUCCCCCUCCAGGCUGCCUUCCCAGAGCUCAGAGGGGCGCCCGGGGCCAGGACUGGUUGCCUGGCUUUGAGUUCGGAACCAUCCCGCUUUACUGGGGAGAUUGGCGGCUUCAGAGGUUUGUCCCCCACGCCAGGAAGACCUCUUCUUCCCCCUUUUACUCACAAGCCUCGGGAGCCUGGCCGAGGUGGCUGGUUUUCUCUCUUGCUUUCCAGCUGAGCGCUCUGCGCCCUCGGCUGCCCUCCUUUCCGGUGCAAGUCUUGGCUCCCUGUGCUUGAAGGCCGGACGUGGGAAAGGUUGGCUCUGUGCUCAGGACGGAAAAGAGAUUUUUAUGGGGCUAAAAGGGCUUGGAGCCCAGCGACAAGGGUUGGAGGCGGGCACUUGGCGGCUGCUCCCAUUCAGUGAAUUCAGUGGGUCAGUAUCAGGUAUUCAUCUUUAAUUCACAUAACAGCAGUCAAGGGAGUGGGGAAAGGGGGGAAGUCAAGUGGCAGAUAUUUACAUCUAAAAUUCACAUUACUUGCUGAAUUGAGAACAUGCUACCACAAUAUAUACAGUAAAAUACUUUUUUGGGACACUAGUACAAAUUUUUUUUUUUCUUUUAACUUUGCUUUCUGAUACAGGUAAGACCAUUAAGUCACUUCUUAUUUUAAACAUAAAUACACAAAGAAAUGGUUAGAAGUUUUCUUAUUUUAAAUAAGCACAGAAUGCCAGAGGUUAAAAACACAUUUAUAGGGCUGAAUACCAAUUGGACAGCACACUCUAUACAUUUUUUGCUCAAAUUCCUGUACAAAUACACAGCAUUCAAAUAGGUAUUUACAAAUAAGCUUGAAAGAAUGAAAAUCAGUAUUUCACAAUCUUUUCAGAGAAUUCUCAUCUCUGGCCUCCCACUUCCCUUCAGACUGGCUGAUUCUCCAAGGAAAGGAAUUUGGAAUAUGUCCUUUUCAUUGAAUUUGGGAAAAUGGAGAGGGAAAAGACAAACCUGGCUCACCCUGUAAAGGCAAGACCAAACAAACCUACACUCCCCUCUCUACCCUCUCACACCACCAGGUGGAGAAGGAAGAUGUUCUUACAGGAGGACUGCCUUGUCCAGGGGUUGAGGUUCAGGAGUGCCCUAAAAUCUAAAUAUGAACUAUCUAAGAAAUCCAAAGCAAGUCCCCGACUGUUACACUUGGGAACACAGAUGGUUCAGGCCUGCCUGGACUGACCCACUCUGCUUGGAGUCACCCUUCAAGUAUCAGAAAGGACCCACACUGGUGAUAGAACACUCCUAGACGCCCUGAAGGUAACGUGGCCCCCCAUCUUAGCUCAUAAGUUACUUGCUGGCAUUCCUGUUAAACAAGUUGGCAUUUGUUUACAAGUGAAAGACACCCUAACCAGGGAAGUCAGAUGGGCCAGUGGAAGAGGAACUAACGGAAAACGUACCUGCUCAACGAGGAGAAGGCAGCCUUGUGACUGUCAAGUUGUGAACUCAAGCAAAUAAAUGUUUUGUAGACUUUUUAAAAGUAA